GGCCGACUAGCUCAGUUGGUUAGAGCGUCGUGCUAAUAUUUACAAUCAUGAAGUUAACGUGAAGGUCUUGGGUUCGAUCCCCACGUUGGCCA